rnacentral:rRNA from 1 species
GGUCGACGAUUGUAGGGGUAUGGAGUGGGGAGAGGUAGACGGUACUCCGUAGGAAGGGGUAAAAUCCUUUGAUCUAUGGAUGACCACCAGUGGCGAAGGCGGUCUACCAGAACACGUUCGACGGUGAGGGAUGAAAGCUGGGGGAGCAAACCGGAUUAGAUACCCGGGUAGUCCCAGCUGUAAACUAUACAAACUCAGUGAUGCAUUGGCUUGUGGCCAGUGCAGUGCCGCAGAGAAGUCGUUAAGUUUGCCGCCUGGGAAGUACGUACGCAAGUAUGAAACUUAAAGGAAUUGGCGGGGGAGCACCACAAGGGGUGAAGCCUGCGGUUCAAUUGGAGUCAACGCCAGAAAUCUUACCCGGAGAGACAGCAGGAUGAAGGUCAAGUUGAAGCCUUUACCAGACAAGCUGAGAAGUGGUGCAUGGCCGUCGCCAGCUCGUGCCGUGAGGUGUCCUGUUAAGUCAGGUAACGAGCGAGAUCCUU